rnacentral:rRNA from 1 species
GACGAACGCUGGCGGCGUGCUUAACACAUGCGAGUCGAACGGAAAGGCCCUGCCUUUGUCUUGUGCUCGAGUGGCGAACGGGUGAGUAACACGUGAGUAACCUGCCCUUGACCUUGGGAUAACUUCAGGAAACUGGGGCUAAUACCGGAUAGGAGCUCCUGCUGCAUGGUGGUGGUUGGAAAGGUUCGGCGGCUGGGGAUGUAGUCGCGGCUUAUCAGCUUGUUGGUGGGGUAGUGUCGUCCAAAGGCUUGGACGGGUAGCCGGACUGAGAGGGUGACAGGGCACAUUGGGACUGAGGUGCGGGCAGGAGUGAUACGGGAGGCAGCAGCGGAGGAUAGAGCGCAAUGCGCCGAAGGCGUAAGGAGCAUCGUCGGGUCGUGGAGGUCGGCUGUCGGGUUGUAAACCGCGUGAGAGUGUGAAGAAGCGUGAGUGACGGUAAUGGGUAAAGAAGCAACGGCUAACUACGUG